AAGGGAGACCUAAUUCGGGUAUAAGACGAAAAAAUAGUAGUCGAAACCAAGAAUCAAUCCCAAAAGGUCGGAACGAGGUAUGUGGCUUUCAAACUAGGUUCUGGGUUCAUAAAAGACCUGAAUCAGGAACAAGGGCUAUUAGCUCAGGUGGUUAGAGCGCACCCCUGAUAAGGGUGAGGUCCCUGGUUCGAGUCCAGGAUGGCCCACCUGCACAGGUGGCAAAAACAAAGAAAAAAAGCUCCGAAUCAGCACCUUAUCUUACUUAUACAGUAAGAGAGAAUGCUGGCUCUGAGUUCAGAGUCCAGAGGAACCUUGAAAACUGCAUAGAGCUAGGUGAAAAAGCCAAAAAAGAAGACCGCAA
rnacentral:tRNA from 1 species